rnacentral:rRNA from 1 species
GACGAACGCUGGCGGCGUGCCUAACACAUGCAAGUCGAGCGAGGAACUUCGGUUCCUAGCGGCGGACGGGUGAGUAACACGUGGGUAACCUGGCUCAUAGAGGGGGAUAGCCUUCCGAAAGGGAGAUUAAUACCGCAUAAGAAGCGAAAGUCGCAUGACUUUAGCUUUAAAGGAGCAAUCCGCUAUGAGAUGGGCCCGCGGCGCAUUAGCUAGUUGGUGAGGUAAAGGCUCACCAAGGCGACGAUGCGUAGCCGACCUGAGAGGGUGAUCGGCCACAUUGGAACUGAGACACGGUCCAGACUCCUACGGGAGGCAGCAGUGGGGAAUAUUGCACAAUGGGCGAAAGCCUGAUGCAGCAACGCCGCGUGAGUGAUGAAGGCCUUCGGGUUGUAAAGCUCUGUCUUUGGGGACGAUAAUGACGGUACCCAAGGAGGAAGCCACGGCUAACUACGUGCCAGCAGCCGCGGUAACAC